GCACUUUCUCCUCUAGGCAGCUCGCAAGUCAUUCACUACACACAGUAAAAACUUUAUGAGCUUCUCUUCUCAAACAGCAGACGCAGCCUAAACUGCUAUUAAGUUAGAGGAAAAAUCAACUGCCAUAUGGAAUUCUUCUUAAAGCCUGAACAGGUGUUAUAUUUCACUGGGUUCACUUGCUGAAGGGAUUAGAUUAUGUGUCUGAUUGAUGCCCGCAAAAGUCUGCGCAGUGCGAGGUCCUGCGGAGUACUUCCCCAAAUUACCACCAACUGUGCGUCGCGGCACGUGUGUAGACCAGUUAUUAUGUUGAACAUUCAUAAUGAAAAUGUAAAUUAUCUGCGCAUUCCCGCAUUGCAGGUACGUACAUCCCUGGUGACUGUCAAUCAUAUAGGCCUAGUGUUGAUCUUUCCUGAAGGUUAAUCUGUGUUAUCCCAGUGUGACUCUGUGAAUUUGAUUAUGACUUUGAUGCAUUAUACAGGGUCAUGUAUGAUCGAGGCUAUGCCCAGCCCGUAUCCAUGCAAGCCUGUAGGAACAUUUUCGUGACGUUUCUGUUUACUUUUGAAUGUUCUGAGAGACAAGUCGGGAGAAGAGAAGGAUGGGCCCUAGAAACAAUGGAUAUUCCAGCGCACCAUAUUUCCAUACCUAAAAAAGAAAUGCUGUUUUGAAAUUCCCGCUAAAUUGAAAAUGCAAUUAAUUUAUAUUUUUCUUUCAGUCAACAUCUAACAUUCUGCAGUUGUAUUGCACCCUGACCGCAAUCUUCUCAGACAUGUUUCGAUACAUGAUGUAAUUUAUUUACGUACGAUCACCUACACAAAGCAGUUAUCCCCUCCCUUGUGUUUAUCACAUGCAGAGGCUUGGGCGUAUCACGUGCCAAGAAACUCACACGGCUUCUGGAAGAAUGAACAGGUCUCCGCCGCUACCACGCAGUCCAUUCAUUACCCAGUGGUCUCGCCAUGAGCAUAUACUUCUUAUCUUUUUUCUGCGCUAUCAACCAUGGGUGUUGUUAUGGACUCCAUCGGUGUUCUUGGUUGUGCACAACGCAUUGGUGUUCACGCUUACAUAAGGCAGAGUGG
ensembl:lncRNA